rnacentral:rRNA from 1 species
GAUGAAUGCUGGCGGCGUGCCUAAUACAUGCAAGUCGAGCGAACAGACGAGGAGCUUGCUCCUCUGACGUUAGCGGCGGACGGGUGAGUAACACGUGGAUAACCUACCUAUAAGACUGGGAUAACUUCGGGAAACCGGAGCUAAUACCGGAUAAUAUAUUGAACCGCAUGGUUCAAUAGUGAAAGACGGUUUUGCUGUCACUUAUAGAUGGAUCCGCGCCGCAUUAGCUAGUUGGUAAGGUAACGGCUUAUCAAGGCAACGAUGCGUAGCCGACCUGAGAGGGUGAUCGGCCACACUGGAACUGAGACACGGUCCAGACUCCUACGGGAGGCAGCAGUAGGGAAUCUUCCGCAAUGGGCGAAAGCCUGACGGAGCAACGCCGCGUGAGUGAUGAAGGUCUUCGGAUCGUAAAACUCUGUUAUUAGGGAAGAACAAAUGUGUAAGUAACUAUGCACGUCUUGACGGUACCUAAUCAGAAAGCCACGGCUAACUACGUG